UGGGAAAUGUCUCUGCUGCUCCGCUGCACCCUACCCAACGUGAACUGAGAGCUGCUUGGCUGCAGUCACCAUGCACAUGAGAAUGGUGAUAGCAUUCAAUCCUCACAGCAGGCCACUUACUUUGGCUUUUAUUGAGUCAGAAAUGGAUGUGUUUUCUGGGAGUCUGCUCUGGGAGUGCCUGGGGAAUAAACUGGAGGAACAAUGUGAUAUCCAGGAUUCCAGUGAAGCCAGGAACCUCUGCUGCUGUCUCCUCCUCUACACCAAGCAGUAGAUGAUGAAUCCUCUUUGACAGUCUGAUUAUGCUCAAGAAGAAAGGCCCAUCCUGGUGCAGUCCCAGGGGAGAAGGAUUAACAACCCUGGAAGCAGUGAAAGAAGAUUCACGCUGAUGUGAAGAAGACAGAUGCAUGUGUAGUCCAAGUUCAGCUUGGCAGUCGUGCUGAAAAUGCCAAUCCAACAAUUUUAAUGCUGGCAAGAAGAAGACAUUUAUGAUGUGACUGGGGAAGGGAUGGCUCCUUCCAGCUCAGAGUGAGCUACAGCAGGGAGCCUGCUCUCCCAAACAGCCUCUUGGGUGCCAAGGGUGGCUUUUUCCUGCAAG